UAAUACGGAGGGGGCAAGCGUUGUUCGGAGUUACUGGGCGUAAAGGGCGCGUAGGCGGUGCAACAAGUCAGGCGUGAAAGCCCCGGGCUUAACCUGGGAAUUGCGCUUGAUACUGUUGCGCUAGAGAUCGGGAGAGGAUGGCGGAAUUCCCAGUGUAGAGGUGAAAUUCGUAGAUAUUGGGAAGAACACCGGUGGCGAAGGCGGCCAUCUGGACCGCAUCUGACGCUGAGGCGCGAAAGCGUGGGGAGCAAACAGGAUUAGAUACCCUGGUAGUCCACGCCGUAAACGAUGAGUGCUAGACGCUGGGGGCUUAGCUCUCGGUGUCGUCGCUAACGCAUUAAGCACUCCGCCUGGGGAGUACGGCCGCAAGGUUA
rnacentral:rRNA from 1 species